UAAGAUUUAAGCACAAGGACACUUGAGAAGCGUUUAGCCGGGCGUUGGUUGCCCCGGUCGUAAGGGACCCUCUUAGAGGGGAAGUAAACGUGGAUUGAGGCAAGAAAAGUUGUGUGUAUAUCUAAAGAGCCCGUACCGCAAACCGACACAGGUAGACAGGAAGAGAAUUCUAAGGCCAACGGGAGAAGGGUUGUUAAGGAACUCGGCAAGUUGACCCCGUAACUUAGGGAGAAGGGGUGCUCGAAAGAGCCGCAGAGAAUAGGCCCAAGCGACUGCUUAGCAAAAACACAGCUCUAUGCUAAAUCGAAAGAUGACGUAUAUGGGGUGACACCUGCCCGGUGCUGGAAGGUUAAGAGGAGAAGUGAGAGCUUUGAAUUGAAGCCCCAGUAAACGGCGGCCGUAACUAUAACGGUCCUAAGGUAGCGAAAUUCCUUGUCAGGUAAGUUCUGACCCGCACGAAUGGUGUAACGAUUUGGGCACUGUCUCAACAACCCACCCGGCGAAAUUGUAGUACCGGUGAAGAUGCCGGUUACCCGCGACUAGACGGAAAGACCCCAUGGAGCUUCACUGCAGCUUAAUAUUGAAUUUUGGUAUUUCAUGUACAGGAUAGGUGGGAGACUGAGAACCUAAGGCGUCAGCUUUAGGGGAGUCAUUGUUGGGAUACCACUCUUGAAGUGCUGAAAUUCUAACCUGCGCCCUUGAAUCAGGGCGGGGGACAUUGUUAGGUGGGCAGUUUGACUGGGGCGGUCGCCUCCAAAAGAGUAACGGAGGCGCUCAAAGGUUCGCUCAGCGUGGAUGGAAACCAUGCUAUAGAGUGUAAACGCAUAAGCGAGCCUAACUGCGAGACUGACGGGUCGAGCAGUAACGAAAGUUGGAGUUAGUGAUCCGGCGGUAUGUGAGUGGAAAUGCCGUCGCUCAACGGAUAAAAGCUACCCUGGGGAUAACAGGCUGAUCUCCCCCAAGAGUCCACAUCGACGGGGAGGUUUGGCACCUCGAUGUCGGCUCAUCGCAUCCUGGGGCUGAAUUCGGUCCCAAGGGUUUGGCUGUUCGCCAAUUAAAGCGGUACGCGAGCUGGGUUCAGAACGUCGUGAGACAGUUCGGUCCCUAUCUGUCGUGGGCGUAGGAUAUUUGAGAGGAGCUGUCCCUAGUACGAGAGGACCGGGAUGGACGCACCUCUGGUGUACCAGUUGUCGCGCCAGUGGCACAGCCGGGCAGCUAAGUGCGGAACGGAUAAACGCUGAAGGCAUCUAAGCGUGAAGCCGGCCUUAAGAUAAGAUAUCCCAUUACGUAAGUAAGUAAGACCCCUUAAAGACUAUGAGGUUGAUAGGUCUGAUGUGUAAGCAUGGCGACAUGUUUAGCUAGCAGAUACUAAUAGGUCGAGGGCUUUUUC
rnacentral:rRNA from 1 species